rnacentral:lncRNA from 1 species
UGUGGAGAGAUAUUUUGAGGACAGAGUUGCAUUGUUUCAGCAAGGAUUUUCCGCUCACAUGGGGUAGAGGUGAAGCUAGCAGCCACCUGGUGCCACGUCAAUUUGACCCAUGCUCUUGAUGUCUUCCAGCAUGAACUCCUGGAGGACUGUUUCUCACUGGUUCUCAGGGUCAGUGGUUUUCCCUCCACCCAGCACCAGUGCAGGGACAGGUGCUCUCCUUGCUGCUCCUGCUCUAAGGUGGGCUUUUAUUUUAAGUCUAAGAUAUCAGAUUUCCAACCUCAUUUUGGAGAGGCAUCCGGUUUUCUUUCUGAUGCCCUGUCCUCUGUGCAACUGUCUAAACAGAAAAAAAAAUUCCACUUUGUUUCCUGCCAAUUCUUUAUUGACUGCUGUGGAUUCCAUCCUUCAAUGCCAGCCCAGUUGUGCACUUACAGGUGGGGGGAAUGAGUGUAGAGAGCAGGUGGGGGGAAUGAGUGUAGACAGCAGGUUGGGGGAACAGGUGUAGACAGCAGGUGAGAGAGCAGGUGGGGGUAGCAGGUGGAGGAACAGGAUGACAGCUGGGCAGAUGCCGGGGACCAAGUGUCCAGGAAUGACAAGUACCCCUGAGUUAGUCAGUGAGCUGUAUGAGCCUCUUGGUAAGCAGUGACCAGCAUUCUUUUUGUUUAAUGCAAUGAAAUAGAACAAAAAAUACCUGAAUGCACCACAUUGAGUAAGAGUAACAACCGCUUUGUGAAACUGAUUUCAGCCCACGUGUGGGUCAAAUUAGAUUCAUUUCUUGGCGUGAUUCAUGGUUUUAAAAAAAUAGUUUGAGUGAAUCAUAUUUAAAAGAAGGUAUUAAAAUAUUUUGAAAGUUUCUUACUGAUUGGGGAAAUGAUCCAUCUGUUUUCUCUCUGUCUCUCUAGCUCUUUCUCUCCCCGUCCCUCCCUCCCACCUUUCUUUGUUGUGAGGAGGACGCCUCCUUGUUACUUUGUUACUUCUUUAGACUGGGACCAGAUCCCAAAUGGUCCAUUUGUAAGACAAACAGCAGCGUGGACGUGGCACUGUGCUCGUAAGGGAAAUGCCAGAUUCAUCCACGAGGCAUUUCGAAUAGACUUUACCCCACCACGAUGCCAGCCUUUUUGAGGAUGGCGGCUGUGUUUCUUUGCACAAUGUUCAGUAGGGACCCCAUCACCCCUAUAGCCUGCCUCAAACAUGGG